rnacentral:tRNA from 1 species
GCCCCCGUAGCUCAGUUGGUUAGAGCGUCGGACUGUUAAUCCGCAGGUCCCAAGUUCAAGUCUUGGUGGGGGCG